GCCCAGAAGUAACAUGUCACCAAAUACUAGCUGCUCAGGGAGGCAACAGAAAUAAAAUUAUAUUGCCUUUAUGUCCUCCUUGUGGGGUUUACAGAGGCAUCUGGUUAGCUAAUGAUGCUGAACUAGAGGGACUUUUGGUCUGAUCUAGAACUUUGAAGUUCUGACAUUUAUAAUAUUGGACUCCAUAUUAAUUUAACCCAACUACCGACUACCCUCUGUAGUAAAGUGUAAAGUGAAUAUCCACUUUAUGCAGAAGCAUCAAAUAAAGAAUUUGGUCUAUGUUAACAGGUUUUCAGUUGACAACACAUUAUGGAAGAAGCUUUUGUUGGUACAUUUCUGUUUAACUUACUCUAUUUUGCAAUAGAUCUCACCUGAAACUUGGGACAUGCUGUUGAAUUCCAAGGUUGAUAGGUUUCCGGAAAGCAGGGAUUGCACAAGUUUGACUCACUCACUCAUGUUUCUACUUUCCUCACCUCAUGUAGUAUAUGAGAUGAGUCGAUUGUCCAAAGCACUGACACUUGCAAUGGAAAAAUCUGACAAGUGGCCUUUCUUCAGCACAAAACAGAUAAGGAAGCAAAAAAUGUUGCAGAACAGUAGCUCAGAAUUUUAAGGCUGCCUCCAUAGUAAGGCUAUUAGGCACAUGUUACUUUCCCUAUGGCACUGGUGGAGGAACGGGAGUGCGGACGGAGCGGACUGCCCCCAGCACCACUAUUCCGGUAGGGUGCCAUCACGGUGGGGCCCCCGGACACGCACUGUGCACCCCCGGGCGCACCGGGUGCCAUGCCCCCACAGGCGCACACCCCCAGAAUGCGCGCCACACCCCUGCGGGUGGCACACAAUGACUCCGGGCGGCGUUUGGCGCCCCCGGGCAGCGUGUCAUGCCCCCGCCUGCUCUCUGCCCCCGGUAGCGGAGCAUGCAGCUUCGCCACUGCCCUAUGGUGUCUGAUUAGUGACUGAGACAUGUUCAACACAUGAGUACUGCAAAUCUCAUAUCUGAGUAUCGAAGGUUUUAUGAUACCUACUCUAGGUGACCCUGUGUUGUCCUUCUAAUUCUAAUGCAAGAGCUGGGAAGUAAUUGCAGAAGAAAAUUGGUAGGUAGGAGGAAGCUUCAUAACCAUUUCCCCAACUGCUGAUUUCCCCCCUGCACAUUCACCCCAAGCAGUGGUAUGUUGUUGUUUUUAAAUUAGAAUCUAGAGACAAACAAUAGAUACAAUCAAAUCAAAGAUAAGGACUAUUAAGCCUACUGAUUUCAAUGGAAUAAAUCUGAGCCUGCGCAGUAUAUAAGCAAAAUGGACUUUCCAUCUCAUGUUCCACUCUCAGGGCAAAAGCUUUGAAGCUUUAGCAAUGUGCUUCUAACUCAUGCCGAACUCUUAACAUUAAAAGCAAUAGGACUUGAAUGUGAAUAACUUGAUUUUCCAGAAUGCUAAAUCAUGCAUAGAGCAUCCACAGUUACAAAGGAGUGGGGAGGCAAUGAAAAAAGCAGUGAAGAAGAGUUAUCACCCCUAAGCCCACUGGCACCUUUUUACUUCCCCAUAUUGGUGAUGCUGCAGAAGGCUUAUGAAAACCUGCAAAAUGCAAUGUGGGAAAACAGGUGAAAGCAGCAAUGAUUUAAUUAUGGCCACUAUCAGUAAUUGGGGGAGGAAGAACUGCCCUCUUUCUAAAAUGUUAUCUGACUUCCAAUGUUAUCUGUUCAACAUUUUCACAAUUUUGUAUAUUUAAGACACAGAGAGAAAGAAAAUAGCUGAAGCAUUCCCAUUUUUUCUACAUUUGUUUAUUUCUCUCUUACCACUAAUGCAGAAAGAGUAAAAUAUUGCAAAGGCAACUCUGCCCAAGACCCUCAAACUGCUAUUCAGGGCAAUUUAAAACUAAGCAAGUAGCAAACACAUCCAGAGCAGAGCUAUACACUCUUGAGGAGGGUGUCAUUUUGAAUAUCAAACCUGAAGUACUGGAAAGGUAUGGUCAUAAAAUAUUGAGGUGAGGAAAUAUUUGGUGGCAGUGGGCCUGUUCUGAAAUUUAAAAGCACCACGAAUGAGGGCAAUUCACACCAACCCUUUUGUGGGGUUUAUUUUUAUGGUUGGCAACUUUUGAGGCAGUCAUCGAGGCUUAAGCAUCCCAGCUUGGUGCCUGGACCUGAUAGAAAUCACCUCAGUUUAAAAAUUAUUAUUCAGGGUUGAUUCAUAUAUAUAAAAUAUAAUUAGUCUCUUCAUAGAUGUCCCUAAAUGUGUGCCUACAUGUUUCCUCUUAUCUGUAAUUAUAGACUGCCUAAAUAAAAUGUUGCUUCCAUUCUUCCAUUCAUGUUACUGAUUUAUAAACUUACAGUGGUCAGCCUAGAAGAUAGUGUUCAAGUACCUGAUCUAGACAGUCAAAUGUAUGGGCCUUUCGUCACCUCCUAAAUGCUUCUUUGAACAUCUUUUGUGCUCAAGUUAUCUCCUCAGAAUUGCAACAGACAUCAGGAGAAGCCAACUGUUUCUGCCAAUUGAUUUUAUAUUUAGUGCUUGGCUGUUGCCACCAUUCGUUCCAAGGAUUUUCUUUUUCUUUAUUAUCAUAAUAUUUGUUUUCCUCACAAACUAAACACAAACAACAACAUUUCAAGGUGCAAGGUGCCAUAAAUGCAGCUUUCAGCACUGGGAGGCGGCCAGGGAGGAACCACAGACAUGAAAGUGUCUUUAGAAAAGCACAUCCCUGCCAAACCACAUGCAGGGAUGAAUCUAAAUGAGUGAAUUUAGGUAAUUAACACACAGCCAAGCCAAAGAAAUGUAGCUGGAAAAGCUGCCAAACACCAAUUACCUGUACAGCUUUAAAAACCCAGACAAUAAGGAUUUCCCAAAAGCCCUUCUAUCAAAGCCUUAUUAUCAAAAUCCUUGUGGACAGCUUUUCUUCUCUAGGUAGGUACAGCAAGGUAAAAAAGGCAGAUAGCAAUGAGUAGCUUUGUUUCACACAGAUAAACAUGACUGUUAAAAAUAGUUGCCCUGGGCUCCUGAGGGGGGAAAGGUGGAAUAUUAAUUU
rnacentral:lncRNA from 1 species